CCAUUCAUUCAUGACCAUUCGUAACUUUUUUUUUAUUUACUUUUGUUUUGUUGUAUCGUGGACAAUUAGUGAUGAAUAUAGUGAAAAAUCAUAAUAAAUCGUAAAUGGUGACAUUUACAAUUGGUACAACAGCGUUGUGUUACACAAUAAAUGUGAGACACACGGAAACUUUUAACACAAAACAAUAGUGACAAUGGAAGGUCAAGACCAGAUGGAGAUGAAGUUCAGCGGCAACAGUGAGGUGGGCGGUCUGGAGCUCUGCAUCGUCUGCGGAGAUCGGGCUUCUGGAAGACAUUAUGGAGCUAUCAGCUGUGAAGGCUGCAAAGGAUUCUUCAAGCGCUCUAUCCGCAAGAAGCUGGGCUACCAGUGCCGAGGCAGUAUGAACUGCGAGGUGACCAAGCAUCACCGGAACCGUUGCCAGUAUUGCCGGCUGCAGAAGUGUUUGGCUUGCGGCAUGAGGAGCGACUUCCAGCAUGAACGCAAGCCCAUCGUGGACAAGUCUAAGGGCGAGCAGAGGGAAGGCCUGCACGAUAGACAGGCAGCUUACUCCAAGUUCUUGGGGCUGGCUGGUCAAGCUCAGGCAGGGCAGGACGUGUAUUCGCAGAUAAACCCCAAGGAGGAGCCUCACGAGGCGUACGGCGCGGUGUCGCCGGCGCCCGCCAUCAACUUCGCGCUCGCCGCCGCCGUCGCCUUCAAUAAGGGGAACCCUGUAUCACCAUACUUGACUCCUGGUAACGCUGGGGACAUUGAAGGCGCUCGCAGACAACAACUGAUGUUGCAAACACAGCUCGCCAAGAAUCUCUUCAAGAUGGGACAGUUUGGUGCAAUAAAUGAGUAUCUUCAGUCGGCCUACGGCUCGACGCAGCCAGAAGUUCCGCUAGCUGCCUUACACGCGGCCGCUGAAACACAACAGACUGAACCGGAAGGUGGUGGCGGCAUCCUCAGCACCCCCGAGUCAGUGCAGCUGUGCGUGUCCCUGCCGGGCGCCGCGCCCGCGCACCUGCGCCUGCACGCCGUGUGCGAGGCCGGCGCCCGCCUCCUGGCCGCGGCUGCCCGCUGGCUACGAGCUGUGCCCGCUGCGCAUGCACUGCCUUUCGAGAUCCAAGUGACUCUUCUAAAGAAGUGCUGGCCGGAGCUGUUCGUGCUAUCGCUGUCGAUGUUCAGCCAGCAGCUGUCGCUGAACUCGCUGCUGCCUCAGAUGGUCAGCCACCUUCAGCAAGUACUGAGGGACAGAGCGAGCAGUGACUGCGUGGAUAGAUCGCAUGAUAUGGCUGUGCCUGAGAUCACAGCAUCAGACUACUCAGACGAGCGGAUAGCUGAAGUGAGCAGCAGUUUGACGCGGCUGCAGCAGUUCAUCAGCAAUAUGGAGCAACUUCGCGUGCAACAGCGGGAGCAUGCUCAUCUGAGGGCGCUGUGUCUGUUCUCACCUGACGGCGUACCAGACUUCCUAACCCGCAAACUACAAGACUAUCAAAUCAAGGUCCUCCGCUCCCUCCGAGCGACCUGUCAGCCCGACGAGGAGCGUCUGUCCACGCUGCUGCUGCAGCUGCCGGUGCUCAGGAGCUUCUCCGGGCCCUUCCUGGAAGACGUGUUCUUUGUGGGCUUCGUGGGCGACGUCAGCAUCGAUGACGUCAUACCUUAUCUGUUGAAUGCCGAGCGCUAGGUUAGGGAGAUGUGAAUAGGCUACUGACAGUGAUUUUGAAAAAUUUAUUCGUACUAAAGUUUACUUUGACUAGGUAAAAAUUGACAGGCCAAAGGGCGACUUUUUAACCCAGUGUUUAUUGAAUUGUAUUGUUUUUUCUUGAUUAGGUAAUUUUUUUUAGGGUAAUCUGAUUGUGUUCGAGGUAUGUAUGCCUAUACUUAUAACCUUAAUUAUGAAUCAUUAUAUCUAUUGUUGAAAACUGCAUACAAUAGUGGCGUACGAAUGUGGUUCUAAAAUAGUGGCCUAUUUCACAAUAGCUUUAUAUUUAUCAUAGAAAUAUAUGUUCCUGUUUCACCAUUUCUGAAAGACAGCCAUGUACUUAAAAAUAAUAAAGGACGUGUAUUUUUGGGAAAUAGUGAAAUAGGUUCUAAAGUAAGCCAGUAUGUAAGAUAUAAGUGUUUUACGGUGCUCUGCUUGUGCAAGCGAUCAUUCCUUCCAACUUAAUGAUAGUUGUAAUUCAAGAAGCUAAUAGGUAUAACUAGAGGCCGAACUGAAAUUGUUGCAGUCUCAAUAGUAUAUCACAUUUCAGUAACAUGAUUUUAUGAUAAAACUAGAUUAAGAACAGCGUAUAAUACGUUAUAAUAGUGAAAAGCGACUAGUAUGUAUAAAUAAUAUUUGUGACAAUAUUUUUGUAAUAUUCAUAUACACUAUUUUCUAAAACAAGUGUUAAAGGUCUGUUUAGUUUUGUAAUAUUUAAAACUAUAUGUUUUGUAUCAAGGACUUUCAUGUAAGGUCUCUAGUUAUAUCUAUACCUUCUUGGUUGUAGUUAAAUUAAUAUUUUAAAUAGAGUUACAUAAUUAUGUGUCAAAAAUUAAUUUUAUGAACAUUGUAAUGUUGCCGUUACUAAAAUGUAAUCACAGAUUUUAAUUAUAAGGCUAAAUAAUAAAUAUUUUAUUUAAAAAAAAGAAAAACUGAUACGGAUAGUUUAUAUUAACUCUUAUAAAAUGUAUGUUUACUUAAUUUUUUGACAUAACAAUCUUGGUAUUACAAGAUGACCAGUGAACAUAAGAAACUUUAAAUAAUUUAAGUUGUAAGUGCCUUUGACUUAAAAGACCUAAUAAAUUGAUAUACAAAAUGUG